rnacentral:rRNA from 1 species
AACGAACGCUGGCGGCAUGCCUAACACAUGCAAGUCGAACGAGACCUUCGGGUCUAGUCGCGCACGGGUGCGUAACGCGUGGGAACCUGCCCUUAGGUUCGGAAUAACUCCCCGAAAGGGGUGCUAAUACCGGAUAAUGUCUUCGGACCAAAGAUUUAUCGCCCUGGGAUGGGCCAGCGUUGGAUUAGGUUGUUGGUAGGGUAAUAGCUUACCAAGGCGACGAUCCAUAGCUGGUUUGAGAGGAUGAUCAGCCACACUGGGACUGAGACCCGGCCCGGACUCCUACGGGAGGCAGCAGUGGGGAAUAUUGGACCAUGGGCGAAAGCCUGAUCCAGCCAUGCCGCGUGAGUGAUGAAGGCAUUAGGGUUGUAAAGCUCUUUUACCCGGGAUGAUAAUGACAGUACCGGGAGAAUAAGCUCCGGCUAACUCCGUG